UUGCCAUGAUUCACCUCUCCAUCAGGUGUUGAGUGGACGUGCCGGCUGGCCCGCAAUGCCGGCCGGCACGCUU
rnacentral:sRNA from 16 species